rnacentral:rRNA from 1 species
UACGAGGGGGGCAAGCGUUGUUCGGAAUUAUUGGGCGUAAAGGGCGCGUAGGCGGUUUGACAAGUCUGAUGUGAAAUCUCUGGGCUCAACCCAGAGUCUGCAUUAGAAACUGUCGGGCUUGAGUAUGGGAGAGGUGAGUGGAAUUUCCGGUGUAGCGGUGAAAUGCGUAGAUAUCGGAAGGAACACCGGUGGCGAAAGCGGCUCACUGGACCAUAACUGACGCUGAGGCGCGAAAGCUAGGGGAGCAAACAGG